GGCACAAACUUGAAGUAGAGUAGAUUGGUAGUAUCAGCUGACCCUAAUAAUCUUCUUUACUUCAAGUUUGUGCGC
rfam:Haemonchus contortus, ISE/inbred ISE, WGS project CAVP01000000 data, contig: Hcontortus_29343